AGUGAACGCUGGCGGUAGGCCUAACACAUGCAAGUCGAACGGCAGCACAGUAAGAGCUUGCUCUUACGGGUGGCGAGUGGCGGACGGGUGAGGAAUACAUCGGAAUCUACUUUUUCGUGGGGGCUAAGGAAGGGAAAUUUCCGCUAUUACCGCUUAGAACUUCUGGGGAAAAGCAGGGGUUUUUGGGACUUUUUGGGAUUGAAUAAGCCAAUGUCGUAUUAGCUAGUUGGCGGGGCAAAGGCCCACCAAGGCGACGAGCCGAAGCUGGUCUGAGAGGAUGAUCAGCCACACGGGAACUGAGACACGGGCCAGACUCCUACGGGAGGCAGCAGGGGGGAAUAUUGGACAAUGGGCGCAAGCCUGAUCCAGCCAUACCGCGUGGGUGAAGAAGGCCUUCGGGUUGUAAAGCCCUUUUGUUGGGAAAGAAAAGCAGCAGGUUAAUACCCCGCUGUUCUGACGGUACCCAAAGAAUAAGCACCGGCUAACUUCGUG
rnacentral:rRNA from 1 species